rnacentral:rRNA from 1 species
GGUUAAGUGACUAAGCGUACACGGUGGAUGCCUAGGCAGUCAGAGGCGAUGAAGGGCGUGCUAAUCUGCGAAAAGCGUCGGUAAGGUGAUAUGAACCGUUACAACCGGCGAUACCCGAAUGGGGAAACCCAGUGUGUUUCGACACACUAUCAUGUCAUGAAUACAUAGUGGCAUGAGGCGAACCGGGGGAACUGAAACAUCUAAGUACCCCGAGGAAAAGAAAUCAACCGAGAUUCCCCCAGUAGCGGCGAGCGAACGGGGAGGAGCCCAGAACCUGAAUCGGCUUGUGUGUUAGUGGAAGCGUCUGGAAAGUCGCGCAGCAAAGGGUGAUAGCCCCGUACACUAAAAUGCACAGGUCGUGAGUUCGAUGAGUAGGGCGGGACACGUGACAUCCUGUCUGAAUAUGGGGGGACCAUCCUCCAAGGCUAAAUACUCCUGACUGACCGAUAGUGAACCAGUACCGUGAGGGAAAGGCGAAAAGAACCCCGGCGAGGGGAGUGAAAUAGAACCUGAAACCGUGUACGUACAAGCAGUGGGAGCACCUUCGUGGUGUGACUGCGUACCUUUUGUAUAAUGGGUCAGCGACUUAUAUUUUGUAGCAAGGUUAACCGUAUAGGGGAGCCGUAGGGAAACCGAGUCUUAACUGGGCGACUAGUUGCAAGGUAUAGACCCGAAACCCGGUGAUCUAGCCAUGGGCAGGUUGAAGGUUGGGUAACACUAACUGGAGGACCGAACCGACUAAUGUUGAAAAAUUAGCGGAUGACUUGUGGCUGGGGGUGAAAGGCCAAUCAAACCGGGAGAUAGCUGGUUCUCCCCGAAAGCUAUUUAGGUAGCGCCUCGUGAACUCAUCUUCGGGGGUAGAGCACUGUUUCGGCUAGGGGGCCAUCCCGGCUUACCAAACCGAUGCAAACUCCGAAUACCGAAGAAUGUUAUCACGGGAGACACACGGCGGGUGCUAACGUCCGUCGUGAAGAGGGAAACAACCCAGACCGCCAGCUAAGGUCCCAAAGUCAUGGUUAAGUGGGAAACGAUGUGGGAAGGCAUAGACAGCCAGGAUGUUGGCUUAGAAGCAGCCAUCAUUUAAAGAAAGCGUAAUAGCUCACUGGUCGAGUCGGCCUGCGCGGAAGAUGUAACGGGGCUAAACCAUGCACCGAAGCUGCGGCAGCGACGCUUAGGCGUUGUUGGGUAGGGGAGCGUUCUGUAAGCCGUUGAAGGUGGCCUGUGAGGGUUGCUGGAGGUAUCAGAAGUGCGAAUGCUGACAUAAGUAACGAUAAAGCGGGUGAAAAGCCCGCUCGCCGGAAGACCAAGGGUUCCUGUCCAACGUUAAUCGGGGCAGGGUGAGUCGACCCCUAAGGCGAGGCUGAAAAGCGUAGUCGAUGGGAAACAGGUUAAUAUUCCUGUACUUGGUGUUACUGCGAAGGGGGGACGGAGAAGGCUAGGCUGGCCGGGCGACGGUUGUCCCGGUUUAAGCGUGUAGGGGGUGUGACCUGGUAAAUCCGGUUGCAUAUCAACCCUGAGGCGUGAUGACGAUGCACUACGGUGCAGAAGUAGUUGAUGCCCUGCUUCCAGGAAAAUCCUCUAAGCUCCAGGUAACAUUAAAUCGUACCCCAAACCGACACAGGUGGUCAGGUAGAGAAUACCAAGGCGCUUGAGAGAACUCGGGUGAAGGAACUAGGCAAAAUGGUGCCGUAACUUCGGGAGAAGGCACGCUGGCAUGUAGGUGAAGUCCCUCGCGGAUGGAGCUGAAGCCAGUCGAAGAUACCAGCUGGCUGCAACUGUUUAAUAAAAACACAGCACUGUGCAAACACGAAAGUGGACGUAUACGGUGUGACGCCUGCCCGGUGCUGGAAGGUUAAUUGAUGGGGUCAGCCGCAAGGCGAAGCUCUUGAUCGAAGCCCCAGUAAACGGCGGCCGUAACUAUAACGGUCCUAAGGUAGCGAAAUUCCUUGUCGGGUAAGUUCCGACCUGCACGAAUGGCGUAAUGAUGGCCAGGCUGUCUCCACCCGAGACUCAGUGAAAUUGAACUCGCUGUGAAGAUGCAGUGUACCCGCGGCAAGACGGAAAGACCCCGUGAACCUUUACUAUAGCUUGACACUGAACAUUGAGCCUUGAUGUGUAGGAUAGGUGGGAGGCUUUGAAGCGUGGACGCCAGUCUGCGUGGAGCCAUCCUUGAAAUACCACCCUUUAAUGUUUGAUGUUCUAACUCGGCCCCAUAAUCUGGGGUGAGGACAGUGUCUGGUGGGUAGUUUGACUGGGGCGGUCUCCUCCCAAAGAGUAACGGAGGAGCACGAAGGUUAGCUAAUCACGGUCGGACAUCGUGAGGUUAGUGCAAAGGCAUAAGCUAGCUUGACUGCGAGAGUGACGGCUCGAGCAGGUACGAAAGUAGGUCUUAGUGAUCCGGUGGUUCUGAAUGGAAGGGCCAUCGCUCAACGGAUAAAAGGUACUCCGGGGAUAACAGGCUGAUACCGCCCAAGAGUUCAUAUCGACGGCGGUGUUUGGCACCUCGAUGUCGGCUCAUCACAUCCUGGGGCUGAAGUAGGUCCCAAGGGUAUGGCUGUUCGCCAUUUAAAGUGGUACGCGAGCUGGGUUUAGAACGUCGUGAGACAGUUCGGUCCCUAUCUGCCGUGGGCGUUGGAAGAUUGAGAGGGGUUGCUCCUAGUACGAGAGGACCGGAGUGAACGCACCACUGGUGUUCGGGUUGUCAUGCCAAUGGCAUUGCCCGGUAGCUAAGUGCGGAAAAGAUAAGCGCUGAAAGCAUCUAAGCGCGAAACUUGCCUCAAGAUGAGUCUUCCCUGGGCCUUUAAGGCCCCUGAAGGAACGUUUAAGACUAAGACGUUGAUAGGCUGGAUGUGUAAGUGCAGCGAUGCAUUGAGCUAACCAGUACUAAUGAUCCGUGAGGCUUAACCUU